ACGGCGCUAUUUGUAAACUGUUUUAUUUAUGCAAGGUAACAAGUACCCUGGUUCCAGAGGUUUAUUUUUAUUAUUUUCAUUGCGAAGGGGAGAGGAAAAAUAACAAGACAUGUCAGCAAAAAACGAAAACUGAAAUAAAAUCGCUGAUAUACAAGCACAGAGGAAGUACAUACAGAGAUCUCACUUCAGGUUAAUUUCGCGUAAGGGAUUUUUUCAGUCCGCCAUGUUCUUAGCAAGUGCCCUAAAGAGAGGCAGUCACCCCCUGAAAAUAUAUUGAAAAUUUAAUAUUCCAGGGGGGUGAAGGCCUCU